GGACAGUCAUCGCCGAGUCCCCGUACGGCGCGAGCCAGGGGAGCCGGGGACCCACGUCCCCUGGGGUGAAUCGGGCGCCUUCCCGGAGGGGCCCGUAGGAGACCUUCCUGCUCCGAACCCGUCAGCUAACCCGGUAGGCGAGAGGGAAGGAAAGG
rnacentral:sRNA from 2 species